UAUUUUGGAAGAGAUGCAUUUAUUAGAUAAAAAACCAAUACAUACUUUUUCAAGUAUGAAAUUUGGUGAUUUACAAUAACUUAGCAAAUCGCAUAGUGAAAACAGGCGAUAAAUCAUUCAAGUUUCUGACCUAUCAGCUUUCGACGGUAUGGUAUUGGCUUACCGUGGCAGUGACGGUUAACGGGGGAUUAGGGUUCGAUUCCGGAGAGGGAGCCUGAGAAACGGCUACCACAUCUAAGGAAGGCAGCAGGCGCGCAAAUUACCCAAUUCUAACAGCAUAAGAGAGGUAGUGACAAGAAAUAACAAUACAAGGCAGUUAAAAUGCUUUGUAAUUGGAAUGAUAGAAAUUUAAACACUUUUUAAAGUAUCAAUUGGAGGGCAAGUCUGGUGCCAGCAGCCGCGGUAAUUCCAGCUCCAAUAGCGUAUAUUAAAAUUGUUGCAGUUAAAAAGCUCGUAGUUGAAUUUCUGUUAAAAAUAACCGGUCUGCUUUUAAUAAAAGUGGUAUCUUGGUGUGUUUUUAGCAAUAAUGUCCUUUGAAGUGUUUUUUACUUUAUCGUAAUAAAUAAUAUUCAGGAUUUUUACUUUGAGAAAAUUAGAGUGUUUCUAGCAGGCUAACGCUUUGAAUACUGCAGCAUGGAAUAAUAAAAUAGGAUUUUAGUACUACAUUAUUGGUUUUAAGAACUAAAUUAAUGAUUGAUAGGGACAGUUGGGGGCAUUUGUAUUUAACUGUCAGAGGUGAAAUUCUUAGAUUUGUUAAAGACAAACUACUGCGAAAGCAUUUGCCAAAGAUGUUUUCAUUAAUCAAGAUC
rnacentral:rRNA from 1 species